rnacentral:rRNA from 1 species
UACGGAAGGCAGCAGUGGGGAAUAUUGCACAAUGGGCGCAAGCCUGAUGCAGCCAUGCCGCGUGUAUGAAGAAGGCCUUCGGGUUGUAAAGUACUUUCAGCGGGGAGGAAGGGAGUAAAGUUAAUACCUUUGCUCAUUGACGUUACCCGCAGAAGAAGCACCGGCUAACUCCGUGCCAGCAGCCGCGGUAAUACGGAGGGUGCAAGCGUUAAUCGGAAUUACUGGGCGUAAAGCGCACGCAGGCGGUUUUGUUAAGUCAGAUGUGAAAUCCCCGGGCUCAACCUGGGAACUGCAUCUGAUACUGGCAAGCUUGAGUCUCGUAGAGGGGGUAGAAUUCCAGGUGUAGCGGUGAAAUGCGUAGAGAUCUGGAGGAAUACCGGUGGCGAAGGCGGCCCCUGGGACGAGACUGACGCUCAGGUGCGAAAGCGUGGGGAGCAAACAGGAUUAGGAUACC